rnacentral:lncRNA from 1 species
AGGACAUCUGGUCCCAACAUAGAUUAGACUUGAUUUCUAAUCUUGAUUUCAUUAACUCGAUGCCCUCGACACUUGAGACAUGAGAGGAAUAGGUGAAGUCAUAUCCUUAGGUUUUGAUGAUGUAAACUUUGCCUGUGAGUGAAGCCUGGGAGUAGCCUGGGAUGAGAACAUAAGUGGUAGUUUGUUGGUAUGGUCUCCAGCAAUCCUGAAGAUAGAUAUCGAGACUGGGAAGGCAUUGGCUUCAGGUUUCCUUAAAUUACAGGCAGUUCCUCAAAAUGGCACUUCAGAAGAAAGAGAGAGAGAAAACUCCAAGAAAGAGAGGGAGACAGACAACUGAUUCGGUUGGAAGAACUGAAGACUGCAGUGUUCCUUGAGAAAGACUUGGUGAAGCUAAUGGGAUGCUCAAAGCAAAGGUUGUCCAUUGAAGGAAUCCUGAUUGAGCAGACAUGGCCUGGCUCCAGUACCCACUCUGUGCCCAGGUAUUGGCUGGGAGAAGUCCAGGAACAGUGCUGAAGUGGAUCUUGAAGAUGGUGGAUCUGGAACUGUUGGCUCACCACACUCUGUAGCAGGUCCUGUCUUGGCCAAACUGAGCGGUGCACGUCUGUGGCUACCACACUGUUAUUGUAUGUUGGCCACUGUAAGCUGCUAUAACAAAAACUGGGUAGUUUAUAAACAACAGAAGUCUAUUUCUUAUAGCCGUAUAGGCUGAGAAGUGCAAGAUCAAGGCUGAUUCAGUGUCUGGUGAGGGCCUGCUUUCUGGCUCUUAGACAAUGCCUGCUUGCUGUGUCCUCUGCUGAUGGAAGGAGCAAGGGAUGUCUCUUGGGCUGCUUUUAUAAGGGCACUGAUCCCAUUCAUGAAGGCUCUCCCCGCAUGACCUAAUCACCUUCCCCAAACCUAACCUCCUAAACCAUCACUUUGGGGUUAGGAUUCUAACAUAUAACAUUUGGGGAGGACACAAAUAUUCAGACCAUAGCAAUCACUAUUUGAAUUCUGGCAACUUUGUCCCUUUCUUAAGCAUUUUUGAAGUCGUCUCUAUGUUCCUAUAUCAAGGCCUGGCAGUUUUAGAAAAUAUUUCUUAAACUGCAUCCAUUUAUUGCUCUGUAACUGACGUCUAUACUCAGAUGACUCUGCUCAUUUGGGCUGCCUGUUUCCAUGAGAUGUGGGACUUAAAGAAAUUUGUCUGAGAGUCGUGACUGAUCUCUGUUCUAUGGCUGAGCUUGUGCAAAAUAUGUACUAUUUCUGACACUUUUUGCUAGUGUAUUUCUUAAACAUCUUCCUCAAAGUGUGUCACACACUGUUUAAAGUUUAUCCUUUUCCCUAAGAUAAAAGCAAGUUGUUAGGAGGUGCACCCUCUACCUUGAGCCUAUUUGGGAGGAUGUGUGUUGGGGCAAGGAAGCAAUGUUGGCUGUGAAUGGAAGGAAGAUUGAUGGUUUUUCUAUUUACAAGCCCAGUCACCUCCCCAAGAUAAUGAUAGCAGCAUUAAAAUUCUAAGAUAAUCCCAUAGAGAGGAAGUGUCCAAAACCUUACAAACACAGCUCUAAAUCCAAGCACCCAUCGGGCUUGCGUGUCUGAGGGGGAUGCUCAGCCUGCAGACACCUACAGCAUUUCACCAGCUUCUAAAAUACAAUCAAUCAGUCAACCCAGACAGCAAGGCAGAAACAAGUUUCCCUGGAGUAACUCUGGGGCUUUGCUUACUUCUUCCUCCAAGGACUCAUCAGAACAGGAUAUUUUCACUCUGAGGGGGAAGAACUGUGAAGAAGCUUUAGGAAGGCAUUGUUAACAUUGACGUGACACGUUUCUGGAUUAAAAAUAAAAAGAUAUAUAUUGUGGGUAGUUUGAGGAAAGGGAAUUAGAGAAACUGACUUUGGCGUGACUGCUUUUAAGGAGCUCACCCCAGCCCAACGUUCAGAAUUUAGUCUCAUAUCCCUUCCAUCCCUCAUCCCAGAAUCAAAUCUGAUUGUGCUUAUUUGUGUGGACCUUUUGCUAAGGGUUUUCAACAAAUGACUUCACCAUUCCCUUCUGCAGAGAUAAGGAUGCUUUCCAAAGAUGAAAAUGCUUGGGUUAAAAUAAAUUACUGUGAGCCUCAGGAUGACUAGUGUCCUUACAAGUGGUAUUGGAAGGAGUACCGCUAAUAAAAAACACUGAUUCCAAAAUACUGUUUCAGAAUGCAGAAUCAGAAAAUCAGUUGCUGCCACUACUAGUUUUUAUCCAUAUUAUUCCUUAAAUUAGGCAACCACUAAGUCUAUUAGGCAGGAAUCAAACCAUCUGUUCUCUCCACUGCAGCAGGAAAACUACUUGUCAAAGAAUUGUGUCAGGUUGGUGCCCAGGGCAAAUGUUUACUGUUGUAACAAUUCUGUCAAGAGCAAAUUUGGGGCUGGACAGCACAUUCACUGAAAAAUUGUUGGUGCUUGAUACUGGGCUGUGAGUAUGGGUCUGUGUGCUAAGAUUUACUCGGACAUCCGGCUAAUAGGAAGAAACUUGAUGUAGUGCUAUUUUCAUCAGCGGCAGCGCUUGAGAGUUCAUGUUCUGAUUAUGAUCCCAGGCAGCCACUUAGCCUGCUUCUUAGUUGCCCGUUUGGCAUUGAAAACACAGUACUUCUGCUAUUUAACAAGGGAGAUUUUUAAAAAAUUUUUUUAAAUUUAAUUAAUUAAUUAAUUAAUUAAUUUUGAGACGGAGUCUCGCUCUGUCGCCCAGGCUGGAGUGCAGCAGUGCGAUCUCGGCUCACUGCAACCUCCACCUCCCAGGUUCAAGCAAUUCUCUGCCUUAGCCUCUGGAGUAGCUGGGAUUAUAGGCACCCGCCACCUCCCACAGCUAAUUUUUGUAUUUUUAGUAGAGAUGGGGUUUCACUAUCUUCCCAGCCUGGUCUUGAACUCCUGACCUUGUGAUCCACCUGCCUCUGCCUCCCAUAGUGCGGGGAUUACAAGCGUGAGCUACCGGGCCGGGCUGGGGAGAUUCUUUAGUGGAAAAGUUUGAAUAUUUUUGGCACUCAGUAGCUUUGACACCAGAAGUAUUUCAAUUGUAUUAAUUUUCGAUACAGCUAGGUGAAUCUGGGAUUUAUUUGAAAUUAUAUUCCCUAAUAAAGUUAAAGAAAUUAUAAUGUUUGAGAAAUUAAGUUGAUUCUUUGCUCUUGCAUGUAUAAAAGUAGGUCUUCUUGUUACUUUCUUACCAAAUUUCUAAACUGGGGCCAUAUUUUUUUUUAUUUAGUUUGCUAUUCUCCUUUUGGCACUUCGGUGGAAUAGUACAUAUUUAAAGACUGGUAUUUUGGAACUGUGCAAACCACAAAAGUGUUUUUGCUGGGAGAAGUUAUUUCUGUUAGUUGCCUUCUUUCCUUGCAAGUUGACUGUAAAUGUCAUGAAGUUUAUGCCCUAUAUAAAUUGCUUUAAUUAUGUUGGGUUUAUGUAACUUCUUCGUAUUUGUAUAGGCUAAAUGUAUGCAUGAAAUUUUUCUAUAAACUCUAAAAGCUUGUUGAAUAUCAUAGUAAAUAAAUACAACCAUAUUUAAG